UGUGACUCCUACGGGAGGCAGCAGUGGGGAAUAUUGCACAAUGGGGGAAACCCUGAUGCAGCCAUGCCGCGUGUGUGAAGAAGGCCUUCGGGUUGUAAAGCACUUUCAGUAGGGAGGAAGGUAGUGUAGUUAACACCUGCACUAUUUGACGUUACCUACAGAAGAAGCACCGGCUAACUCCGUGCCAGCAGCCGCGGUAAUACGGAGGGUGCGAGCGUUAAUCGGAAUUACUGGGCGUAAAGCGCAUGCAGGCGGCCUGUUAAGUCAGAUGUGAAAGCCCCGGGGCUUAACCUCGGAAUUGCAUUUGAAACUGGCAGGCUAGAGUCUUGUAGAGGGGGUAGAAUUUCAGGUGUAGCGGUGAAAUGCGUAGAGAUCUGAAGGAAUACCAGUGGCGAAGGCGGCCCCCUGGACAAAGACUGACGCUCAGAUGCGAAAGCGUGGGGAGCAAACAGGAUUAGAUACCCUGGUAG
rnacentral:rRNA from 1 species